AGCGAACGUUUGCGGCGGGCCUAACACAUGCAAGUCGAACGGGCUAGCAAUAGUCAGUGGCGCACGGGUGCGUAACACGUGGGUAAUCAACCCUUCAGCUCGGGAUAACGCCUUGAAAGGGGCGCUAAUACCGGAUACGACGCGAGGAGCUUCGGCUGCUUGCGGGAAAGAUUCGCAAGGAUCUCUGAAGGACGAGCCUGCGGCCCAUCAGCUAGUUGGUGAGGUAAGAGCUCACCAAGGCGAAGACGGGUAGCUGGUCUGAGAGGAUGAUCAGCCACACUGGAACUGAGACACGGUCCAGACUCCUACGGGAGGCAGCAGUGGGGAAUAUUGCGCAAUGGGCGAAAGCCUGACGCAGCCACGCCGCGUGAGCGAUGAAGGCC
rnacentral:rRNA from 1 species